rnacentral:rRNA from 1 species
GGCUGUCGUCAGCUCGUGUCGUGAGAUGUUGGGUUAAGUCCCGCAACGAGCGCAACCCACGUCUUUAGUUGCCAGCAUUUAGUUGGGCACUCUAGAGAGACCGCCGGUGAUAAACCGGAGGAAGGUGUGGAUGACGUCAAGUCAUCAUGCCCCUUACAUCCUGGGCUACACACGUACUACAAUGCUACGGACAAAGGGCAGCAAACUCGCGAGAGCUAGCAAAUCCCAUAAACCGUGGCUCAGUUCAGAUCGUAGGCUGCAACGCGCCUACGUGAAGGAGGAAUCGCUAGUAAUCGCAGGUCAGCAUACUGCGGUGAAUACGUUCCCGGGCCUUGUACACACCGCCCGUCACACCAUGGAAGUUGGCCACGCCCGAAGUCGUUACUCCAACCCUUGUGGAGGAGGAUGCCGAAGGUGGGGCUGAUGACUGGGGUGAAGUCGUAACAAGGUAGCCGUACCGGAAGGUGCGGCUGGAUCACCUCCUAA